GAUGAACGCUAGCGGCAGGCUUAACACAUGCAAGUCGAGGGGUAGAGGAAGCUUGCUUCCUUGAGACCGGCGCACGGGUGCGUAACGCGUAUGCAAUCUACCUUUUACAGGGGAAUAGCCCAGAGAAAUUUGGAUUAAUGCCCCAUAGUAUAGUUUUUUCGCAUGAAGAGAUUAUUAAAGUACCAACGGUAAAAGAUGAGCAUGCGUCCCAUUAGCUAGUUGGUAAGGUAACGGCUUACCAAGGCGACGAUCCUUAGGGGUUCUGAGAGGGAGAUCCCCCACACUGGUACUGAGACACGGACCAGACUCCUACGGGAGGCAGCAGUGAGGAAUAUUGGACAAUGGGCGCAAGCCUGAUCCAGCCAUGCCGCGUGCAGGAAGAAGCAUCUAUGGUGUGUAAACUGCUUUUGUACGGGAAGAAACACUCCUACGUGUAGGAGCUUGACGGUACCGUAAGAAUAAGGAUCGGCUAACUCCGUGCCAGCAGCCGCGGU
rnacentral:rRNA from 1 species